AGAGAUAGCAAAAGAAUAAGAGCCCUUCACACAAGACUUACACCCUCCGUUUAAUAGCCGACUGAGGUGUUUCUCCAGCAUCAUCAGAUCAAUGGGGAGUAAAUAGCCCACACUUCUUGUUUCACAGUGGAGUAUUGAUCUUUCCCUCAGCCUCUGCUUCCCUUUCCCCAGCUUCUUGUGUCUUUCAACCCCUGGGACUGCACUGAUUGCCAUAGAUUGGACAAGCUAACAAGCCCAUGAUGAGGAACCAAGCUUUCCUUUCUUCUCACAGGCUGUUUCAUUUUUUCUUUGCUGCAUAGACAGACAGACAUCCACACAGGGACCUUAAAACAUCAGAUCUACACAGCUCCCUGCCAUAAAGGACUGUGCUGUUUGUGUUUUCUUUCCUGUGUUGUUCAGUCCUGCUCAACACAGAUCGGAUACUGUGGCAGUGCGUGUCUUGGGAAGGUUUGCCAAACUGAUAGAGGAUACCCCCACCUAACUACAGAGAAACUUUUAGAUGUGUUUUCUUCAUCCCACUGGAGACUUUUAUUUUUCCAGCUGGAACCCCAUCUGCGUCUUAACCAGCAUUUCUAAAGAUAUCCGAAGUGGCCCAAGGAGAAGCACGUCCACUGAGCUGGAGGACGGCGAUGCAAUGACACGUGGUUGCUGUCCACUUCCAGCCAGCCGUCAAACUGCCUUCACGUCCCCUCAUCAAUGAAGCUUCGACAUACUUGGUGUCCUUCUCGUCUUUGCUCUUUAGCAGCAGCAAGCGAUUGGGAAUCACUCACCACCGCCACCUCUCCAAGUGUUAUUUGUUAAUGAAGGCCAAGGUGUCAGGUGAUAAAUAUGGUCUAAGAGGAAUGGCACAUGUUUCUGAGCCAUCGCUGGAACCAAAGGAAAGUCCAAAGAAGGGAAAAACACGACACAAAAGCUGAUGAAAAUGGACCAGAUUGGAUUAUGUCAGACUUGGCAUGUGCCUCGUUAUGAGGGAAGUCUUCGUUCUGUCUUAUCACUCUCUGCUUUUACAGCUAAAUGAAUAAAAAAAAUAAAA